rnacentral:lncRNA from 1 species
AUGAAGAGUCGGACAUGACUUAACGACUAAACAACAACAACAAUUUCUCUGUAUGAUGGCUUAAAUGCCUGAUUUGUUUAAGACAUACCUUUUUCAUCCAUAUGUAAAUUCUGUUGAUAACCUAAAAACAAACAUACAAUAUGUAUGUUACUGUGAAAUAAUUAUUUUACUUAAGUGUCAUUUAAAGUCACCUUAACACACUUCCUCCAUUGUUUUCUCACCAGCAACGGAACGCAGGUCAUCAGCUGUUACAAGUGGUUCCUGAAAGUCCUCCAGAGAAACAAAAACAGCUGUUUCAAUGCAGAUCAUGUAGUAACUGGAAUAUCUGGAAUAGUUGGAAGAUCAUAUAUGUUUAAAUGUGACAAACUUCACAUGUAUGGAAAUAUUGUCAACAUAAUGUGGUACAAGAACUGUACCAGGAUUGUAAACCAAACGGAGGAAGAGUGGCACAUUAACCAGUUAAAAGCUGAAGAUGCUGGGAAAUAUACUUGUGUGGCAUCAUUCUUUCAUGGACAAAAGAUAUACAACAGCACACAUACAAUAAGCCUAACAGUGAAAGGUGCUGAGGAAAGCACAAGACCAAUGCUAAUUGGACCUCAUUAUCAAGUUUACAAAACAGAAAUAGGUAUGUCUUACUGUUUCUUCUAACAGUGUGGUGUUGUGUACAUCACCCAAACUGAAUAGAUGUCAGAGACAUACCUACAGGACCAGACUAGAGUAUUCAGACAUUAUAUUUAUUGAUAGACAGAGGAUGAUGCGUGAGCCACAUGUUGGUUGAAAUUAUGCCAUGUAAGACUGAUAAUUUCAUCAGUUACAGAGGUUUUUCUACAUUCAAAGGGCCUACCCUGCAGAUAUUUGCACUGUUAUGAAUGGUGGAAUGCAGAUCUACUCAUAUACUUUUUUUGAUAGUAAAAAUAACACCAAGGCAGGCCUUUUGAGGGUUGUAGGAAAGUUUUUUGCAGGAAUUAUGUUGUAUUAUGAUUUAAUUAUAAUCUGUUAAUCAUUCUGUAGCCAUAAGUGAGACUGCAUACCUUAGUUGAAAAUGGGUUAAAAAAUCAGUUCAAAAAUGUUAGUUUUAAUUUUCAUUAAAUUUUAAUUUCCAAACUGCAUAUGAAAAUGGGUUAAAAAAUCAGUUCAAAAACGUUAAUUUUAAUUUUCAUUGUCUUUUCUUUAUUAUGUUUGCCAUCCCAAUUUCCAAACUGCAUAAACAUGAGGUUUCCAAGCGUUACUACCAUGAGCACGAGACUAUUUAUUAAAUAAAAAAGCAUUAUUUUUACA